GACGAACGCCGGCGGCGUGCUUACCCAUUCAAGUCGAACGGAAAGGCCCUGCUUUUGUGGGGUGCUCGAAUGGCGAACGGGUGAGUAACACGUGAGUAACCUGCCCUUGACUUUGGGAUAACUUCAGGAAACUGGGGCUAAUACCGGAUAGGAGCUCCUUCUGCAUGGGGGGGGUUGGAAAGUUUCGGCGGUUGGGGAUGGACUCGCGGCUUAUCAGCUUGUUGGUGGGGUAGUGGCUUACCAAGGCUUUGACGGGUAGCCGGCCUGAGAGGGUGACCGGCCACAUUGGGACUGAGAUACGGCCCAGACUCCUACGGGAGGCAGCAGUGGGGAAUAUUGCACAAUGGGCGGAAGCCUGAUGCAGCAACGCCGCGUGCGGGAUGACGGCCUUCGGGUUGUAAACCGCUUUCGCCUGUGACGAAGCGUGAGUGACGGUAAUGGGUAAAGAAGCACCGGCUAACUACGUG
rnacentral:rRNA from 1 species